rnacentral:tRNA from 1 species
UCCCUGGUGGCUCAGUUGGUAAAGUAUCUGCCUGCAAUGCAGGAGACCCAGAUUCUAUCUGGGUCAGGCAG